ACCCUCCAAAUUCUUUACCAUUUAGAUUUAAUAUUGGUCUGAAUGGCUACAGAAGGCGGAAUAGUGAAACUGAAGUGGACUUUUAGUCUUUAGUGACAUAUAAGUACAUUUCAGACAUAC
rnacentral:snoRNA from 1 species